CAGCUCGCCAUCAACAUCACUUUCAGUUUGUGUUGCGUGUGGGGUUUCACUGGGAACGAUUUCGGGGUCGGGGCCGCGGGUCCCCCUCGUCCACUUCCAGGGCCUCGGAGCCCUCCGCCCCCCCCAUGCGGUUUCUCACAGGGCCUCCCCGUGCCGUCCAAUACCCGCUCCACUCACAGCCCGACAUGACAGCACGUCUGAUGUCGUCAUGGCCGCAGCAGACAAUCCGCUGGUGUGUCUGCUGCUCGACAGUCUGACAGCUUCUCCCCUCUCGUCUCCACGGCGAUCACGGAGGCGAGCGGUGCUGAGGCGCGACGGGACGCCCCCCCCCCCCCGGCAGGACCAGCAAAAGGAAGGGCCCUCUGAAGCCCGGCCACGGUGCGGUGGUUUGUCUGAACGCGGAACCUGCUGGGAAAACUAACGCACCUGAACAAUCCGGAUGAGUGCACCGUUCUGACUGCAGAGGGAGGUGAUUCACACCUGUAGCCUGAUAACUGGACCAAAAUCUACUUUGUUUCACUGCAUUAUUCAGUCAGUCACCUUGCCGUCAUAACCGC
ensembl:lncRNA